rnacentral:lncRNA from 1 species
GAGUCCACCCCAUGCUUGUUCUAAUGGCGAUUAACGCUCUGUUAUCCGAGUCGCACCGGACUUCGCUGUUAUUGGGCAUGAGCUUCCACAACUGGUCGGAUCCAAUUAGGAGACUUACUCCGGGUUCGCAGGUGACGCUUGGGAAGACAACUGCAUCCGCCAAUGGUUUGCCUUCUGCGACGAUGACUUGAAGUUUACUUGUCUU